CUCUGCUGUGGCUGGUGACCAUCUUUAGGAUAUCCCCCAGUGACCGAGUGACUUUCAUGCUUACCCCCAAACCCGUGGUGGUGAGUUGUUCACUUGCUGCUGUUUUGCCCUGUUUUGCUUUGCCUUAUUGUUUUGUUUUUGAGUAUUUAUCGAACCAACUGGGGGUUAAAUGUUUGUUUUUGAUUGAUGUUUUCAUAGUUAUUGUUUAUUUAGGCUGGAGCUGGGGGCCAAACUGUAAGGAGGCUAGGCACCCCUGACAAUUGAGUGCUACCUCAGAGCCAUACUGAAUGUGAAAGAAAAGGAAAAGAAUAUCCACAACCAUUAUUCUGCCGGAGUCAUAGUUUUUGGAGCACGGUCUGCCAUGUCCAAUCACUCAUUACGCAAGCUUAACUUUGACAACUACAAUGGAGUCAUAGGAUGCAUGAAUGUUGCAAAUAACCACUGGAAAUCUUGGUAACAACCUUAAUGAACAUGUUACAAAAUAUAUCCUCAAUAAUAAUACUCUGCCAAUAGUAAAAUUCUGAUGAAAUGUAAUUUCUCCUUGUAUCUCUAAAAGUUGAACCAAAAUGUGUUUGUCAUGGAUUCCUUGGGUCAAGAUGAGGACAAAGAGUCAGGCGUUGCUGCGGAACGGUUUCGCCAGUUCUUCAGGAGGCGGCAGAACCGCUAACAGAAGACUGAUUGGGUGGAUGUAAAGUGGCAGCAAGCCUAAAUCAAGCACAGCAUUCAAAAGGAUGGUUGUAACUGGUGUUUUCGUCAUGAAGACAUGGUGGAGGCUUUUCCCGUUGUCCCCCAGGGAAUAGAAAUACCCACAUCACUAAAGGACUUAAAAGGCCGGAGGAUCACCAUGACGAAAACCAUACUGCAGUGCUCUGUCUUCAGUGAAACAGACCAUUGUUCCAGUUGCGGCCAGGAGAAUCCCACUGGACAGAAGGGAAACACAAAAUGGGUUGAAUGCACUAAAUGCAAGAGGUGGUACCAUCCGACCUGCAUGGCCAUGUCGGAUGAAGAAUGGGAAAAAGAGGAAGUAGCAUUGAAAUGGUACUGUGGCCUUUGCUGAUUUACCGUACAAGAUGUCUACGUUACAUAUCUGACUUUGAAUGUGCCUGGUAUGUGUGUAAUGUAUAAAGUAAACAUAACGGAUAGAAUUCCUUCCAAUUCCUGGCUGUAAAAUUCAUUUUAGUUUAAUCACUUUGCUUUAGCAACUCGCAAUUAAUGCUAAACUACCUGAAAGGUUGUAUGUUUCAUGCCAAAAUAAAUAUUUGCAUGCUUGAUCUAAAUUAAGAGCAGCAAAUUCUGAAGAAAAAUAAGUCAAAAUAGAAAAUGAGAAAUGCAUGUAAAUGAUGCUCACUGUUACUAUUCUGUCUAAGAAUCUUGGAAAAGUGUUUUAAAGGGAAGCAAGAAGCUGUGAAAUCUUCAAUGAGUUUAUGAACACAUCGGUUUGGUGGUUUGGUGUUGAUAUCUUUAAAAACAAGGGAGGUAUUACAAAACAUUUUUUUUUUUGUGCUAAUCCACAAUGAUUUUCAAUUUUGAAAGCAUGUCUUGUGUUCAAGGUUUUUUAUUAAAUGUCCCAAGAGGGCAAAUUAGUUCACAGCGAAGGAGGUAGUGGCUAAAAACUCACGACAGAACAAGACAUCAAUGUGUUGUCUUUUUAGUGGACUCUGCAUUAACAUGUGGUUCAUCCGACUCCCUUGAUAUUGCUUGAUUAACAAAUACAUUUCUUUUUAACAGGGAACAAUGUAGCCAAUCAAAUGUCUUCCUCGUUUUCAGCAAAUCACAUGAGCGCUGAACUUGUCUCUGUAUUUAAUAUUUCCUAAAGUUCAGAGAUUUUUUCCCUGUAAUUAUACAAAAAGUUUUGAUUCCUACAUAAACUGAUUAUUAGUGUGAUGAAAUAAAAAGCUGUAUAUGUUAUACCAUUUUAACUACAAGAUUUGGUUUGAGAUCAAAUGUGUUGAUGAUUAUCAACACAUUUUAAAGCAUAUAAACAUUUUCAGUAUCAUUUUCUUCCAGGAAAACUCCAAUGUGUCAUAUUUUCGAUUUAAAACAUAUGACAGCUGAUAAAAGAGACAGGAUUUGUUCUUAUCUACCCCAUAUAGCCCACAUGAAUGUUAUAGUGUCAGUUUGGAGCAGAAAUAUAAUUUUAACUACAAGAUUCGGCUUCAGAUCAUUUUCUGGCAGGAGGGAAACGACUGAAAUGUCUUAUAUUUGCCCAUGUAAAGGUGGUUCAGCUGGUAAUAGACACUGGGUGGUAUAUUAUCUAUUUACUGUGAUACUCAUGUGAUACUCAUGAAGGUUAUCAACUCAUUUAAUGCAUAUAAAACAUUUUAGUACCAAAAGAGGGCUUGAGAUCAUUUUCUGGCAGGAGGGAAAUGACAUGUCUUAUAUUUGCCCAUGUAAAGGUGUAUCAGCUGGUAAUACACUGGGUGGGAUAUAAUCUAUGUAAUGUGAUGCUCAUGAAUGUACUCAACUCAUUUUAAGGCAAAAAAAACCUUUCAGUACCAAGAGAGGGCUUGUGAUCAUUUUCUGGCAGGAGCGAAACGACUGAAAUGUUUUAUAUUUGACCAUGUAAAGGUGUUUCAGAUGGUAAUAGACACAGGAUGGGAGAUAAUCUAUAAUGUGAUACUCAUGAAUGCUAUCGACGCAUUUUAAGACGUAUAAAAGAUUUCAGUACCAAGAGGGCUUGAGAUCAUUUUCUGGCAGGAGGAAAACGACUCCAAUGUGUCAUAUUCUCGCUUUAAAACGUAUUGCAGCUGAUAAAAGAGACUGGAUUUGUUCUUAUCUACCCCACAUAGCCCACAUGAAUGUUAGUGUCAGUUUGAACCCUAAUCUAUUUAAUGUGAUAGGACCUACUCAUGAAUGUUAUCAAUUCAUUUUGAGAAGAAAAAAACUUCUUGAAAAAUCUAUAAACUGGGAAAA